rnacentral:ncRNA from 1 species
GAUAACUGGCUUGUGGUGGCCAAGCAUUCACAGCGACGUUGCUUCUUGAUCCUUCAAUGUCAGAUCCUCUUGUCAUUGUGAAUUCACCAAGCGCUGGAUUGUUCACCCACUAAUAGAGAACGCGAGUUGGUUUAGACCAUCGUGAGACAGGUU